GGAAGGCGGCCGCUGCCGCCGGAAAGCGGAGUGUCGGCACGGCGUGCUGUUGUGCGUGAUUGUUUUUUGUUUUGUCUGAACGUGUCUCGCCAUGUAGUGACAUCGACGCUUCGUAAUUCACCAUAGCAGUGAUGCCUAACACUUGUGAGCUAGGCUGCCGCUCCGGAUACAAGGGCGUCGACGAAAAAGUCUCCUUAUUCUGUUUACCAGCCAACCCGGAACUACGCGACAGGUGGAAGCGAGCAAUCCCGCGACAAGAGACUCCGCGUUCUCGUUUGAAUCGAAGUACUUUCGCGUGUGCGAAAAACAUUUUGAUGCCGGAGACAUUGUUCGUGCGGAAGUGUGUACAGUGAAUGGAAACGUGUCACUGCCACGCGAUCGACCCAAACUGGUAGAAGACGACAUUCGAGGAUUUUCCAAGGCGUACCUGUGUACUUGUCUAAGCCCAAAGAACGUCCGCAUGCACCGACACGGCGCCCAGCUGCAAAAAGGCGGUGAGUGAUAUCUUCAAACUGUGCUGAAGCCGAAGUUGCGGCCGUCGCAACUGCAGACGUCACCGAUGCAGCCAAAGAAGAAAUUCACGAUGAAGUACGAACUGUGAAUCGCCUUGGCGGUGCUGAUGCAGAGUGCCUAACAGAGCACGCCGCUUGCUUUGCCUCAGAGCUGCAAAGGGUGAAGGCCCAACUUCGCAGUGUGAAGCAACAACUUCGUUCGUGUCAGCGGACGCUCGCAAAAGUGGAAGCGCAGAUUGAUACCCUGGCAGUUCUUUUAGACGAUAUACUACUGGAGCCGGC
rnacentral:lncRNA from 1 species